CACGAAUCACACACGCACACAAGCACACACACACACAAACACACACACACACGUGUGCGCAUCCUGAACCAUGACACAUUUUAUCAUUGCGCUCUGUUUUGCCAUUUUAACAUUUUGAAAACUUUGUCACUGAUUGCUACAAGAACAGUCUGAUAAUGGCAGUUAUAUAAAUCAAUUAUUUAAUACUAAUUGAAAUAAGGUAAUUGUUACAUAACGUACAUUAAAUGCAGCAGUUAUACUAUGGCUCGAACCGCAGCCUGAAUUUAAGGACAUAUCUACCGCGCGACGCCGACACCAUCCAUCCGACCACCGACUGCGUGGUUGCUUUCGGCGCCGGCCCCCAGGAGGCGCUGGCCGCGAGCACCGGUAAAAUUACGGGUAAGACUAUUUUCCCGUCUUCACCUGGUCACCGACAUGUCACGGCGUGCACGCGUGCACGCCAUGUGCACGCCGCAUUGACGGCGACCGAUGAGGUAGUGUACAUGCCGUGCCGAGAGGAAUUGUGGCGAUUUUUGUGUGUAUUAAUGAUCCAAAACCCCUGUGACUGCAUAACGUAGCUCUCAGUGUUUUUCGUGUGGUGUGCCGAUGCCAAUUAUCGUAGUUAUGACCCGGUCGCGCUUUCUUUGUUACCGUCUCAUGAAAAGCCGAUGGUACUCUCGCUGCGCUCGCAUUCCAUCACAGUGCGCGGAAGAAUUUUUUGAAAGUUGUGCUAUAACGUGCUGUAGUUCAUCUGCAAUUCUACGCUGUUGACGCCGGAGGCACCGUGCACAGACUGUUCUUCCUGCGGUACCUGUGCGAUGCGGCAGCAGCUGUCACGGAGACUCGUUUACCGAGCACGCCUAGAAAGGGAUGUCACGAUUUUGUGAGCCAGAGGAAUCUACACCACUUGGGAGCCUGCGGCACUUCUGCAGGCUGAACAGCGCGUCAAAGCAUCUGAUUUGCAUGCUGCGACAAGGUGUGUGCAAGACGGUCACUGCCACACACAUGAGAUGUCGGUACUCACUACUUCAUUCCUUGGAAGCGAUAUUCUUGGUCCCAACCAAGCAGCCCGGAAGAAAUCGGAGACAAAUAAAAUGUGCAAAGAAUA